CGGGGCCGGGGCGGGUCCCGCUGCCUCCGAGCGGCGCCGGGCGGGCGGCAGCCGGGACGCCGCGGCAGGGGAGCAGGAUGGCGCUGGUCCCUGGCACUGUGCUCUGGGCGCUGGCCCCACUCCUGGCCCUGACUGGCACUGACCCCGACCGGGGCUGGGACACCCGUGGGGCCCCCACUGGCUCUGCGGUGACAGUGGCCACGGCUUCAGCCACACCACAGGUCCCCAAAAAUGUGGCGCCGGACACGAUGGUGCUGGUCUGUGUCCUCACCGCCGCCUUCGUGGCCGUGGCCAUCAUGGUCGUGUUCUGCUUCCACUGCGGGAGGCGCUGUUGGGGGCGAGCAGCCCGGGCAGCCGGGGCUGCAGACGGAGGAGCAGCAGAAGCAGCAGGAGCAGCAGGAGCAGCAGCGCUGCCUCCGGGGGACCCGAAGACCCCCAGCGCCUGAGGACGCCCCGAGCCUCCCCGCGUGUGUCCGGGGCCGUGCGGGAAUAAAGCGCCCGCCCGCG